AGCGAACGCUGGCGGCAGGCCUAACACAUGCAAGUCGAGCGCCCAGCAAUGGGAGCGGCAGACGGGUGAGUAAACAGUGGGGAUGUGCCCAAAGGUGCGGAAUAACUCCGGGAAACUGGAAUUAAUACCGCAUGUGCCCUUCGGGGGAAAGAUUUAUCGCCUUUGGAUCAACCCGCGUCUGAUUAGCUAGUUGGUGAGGUAAAGGCACACCAAGGCGACGAUCAGUAGCUGGUCUGAGAGGACGAUCAGCCACACUGGGACUGGUACACGGCCCAUACUCCUACGGGAGGCAGCAGUGGGGAAUAUUGGACGAUGGGCGUAAGCCUGAUCCAGCCAUGCGGCGUGAGUGAUGAAGGCCUUAGGGUUGUAAAGCUCUUUCGCCGGUGAAGAUAAUGACGGGAACCGGAGAAGAAGCCCCGGCUAACUUCGUGCCAGCCGCCGCCGUAACAC
rnacentral:rRNA from 1 species